rnacentral:rRNA from 1 species
GACAGAGGCCCCAAGCGUUAGGCGGAAUCACUGGGCUUAAAGCGUGUGUAGGCGGAACGCCUAAGUGUCUUGUGAAAUCCCACGGCUCACCCGUGGAACUGCUGGGCAUACUGGGCGUCUUGGGCCAACUAGGGGCAGCCGGAACAAGCGGUGGAGCGGUGAAAUGCGUAGAUAAUCACUUGGAACGCCAAAGGUGAAAACAGUCUGCUGGGGAUCUGCUGACGCGUGAGACACGAAAGCCAGGGGAGCGAACGGG